UGGGGAAUAUUGCACAAUGGGCGCAAGCCUGAUGCAGCGACGCCGCGUGAGGGAUGGAGGCCUUCGGGUUGUAAACCUCUUUCGCCAGUGAAGCAGGCCAUCUUCUUUGUGGGGUGGUUGACGGUAGCUGGAUAAGAAGCGCCGGCUAACUACGUGCCAGCAGCCGCGGUAAUACGUAGGGCGCGAGCGUUGUCCGGAAUUAUUGGGCGUAAAGAGCUCGUAGGCGGCUGGUCGCGUCUGUCGUGAAAUCCCCUGGCUUAACUGGGGGCUUGCGGUGGGUACGGGCCGGCUUGAGUGCGGUAGGGGAGGCUGGAAUUCCUGGUGUAGCGGUGGAAUGCGCAGAUAUCAGGAGGAACACCGGUGGCGAAGGCGGGUCUCUGGGCCGUUACUGACGCUGAGGAGCGAAAGCGUGGGGAGCGAACAGG
rnacentral:rRNA from 1 species